GAAACAGAGGUAUAGGUCAGGUAGACAUUGUGGAGAGAGUGGUACCUGGAUGAGGGGAACACCUAAAGGACACUAUGGCAACUAGGUGUCUAUGAAGGAGAGGUAAGAGAGGUAUAGGUCAGGUAGACAUUGUGGAGAGAUAGGUACCUGGAUGAGGGGAACACCUAAAGGACACUAUGGCAACUAGGUGUCUAUGAAAGAGAGGUAAGAGAGGUAUAGGUCAGGUAGACAUUGUGGAGAGAUAGGUACCUGGAUGAGGGGAACACCUAAAGGACACUAUGGCAACUAGGUGUCUAUGAAAGAGAGGUAAGAGAGGUAUAGGUCAGGUAGACAUUGUGGAGAGAUAGGUACCUGGAUGAGGGGAACACCUAAAGGACACUAUGGCAACUAGGUGUCUAUGAAAGAGAGGUAUAGGUCAGGUAGAGAUUGUGGAGAGAGUGGUACCUGGAUGAGGGGAACACCUAAAGGACACUAUGGCAACUAGGUGUCUAUGAAAGAGAGGUAUAGGUCAGGUAGAGAUUGUGGAGAGAGUGGUACCUGGAUGAGGGGAACACCUAAAGGACACUAUGGCAACUAGGUGUCCUUGAAACAGAGGUAAGAGAGGUAUAGUUCAGGUAGACAUUGCGGAGAGAGUGGUACCUGGAUGAAGGGGAGCCCACAGAGGUCUGAGAGAUUGGAGGGGGAGGAGGAGAGGCCUGGACUAUCUGGGGCAGAAAACUUGGCCUCAUGCUGCAACACACCCUUUCUCUCCAUCUCUCCAACUAGUGAGAACAUCAACAAAAAAUGGCACAGGUUCUGAAAUUAUCAAUGCUGGAGUGAAAUUUGGAGUUCCCUUUAAAUUACUUCAAACACUAGAGAGAUGACUAUUUUAUUGACAUUCAGUCAACAAUCAGUACACAAGGGGGGUCGGUAGAAGGAUGGUCUAAACCGUUGAUUUUCGACCUGGGUUAAAUUCCCGCAUUGGGCACUAAAAAAAAAAUGCUCAAAUGGCCCCUGAUUCUUGCAAAAGUCCAACCCCACCAGCGAGUACAAGUAGCCAAACGGGGUCUGGCACAUUUGUAAGUGCAAAGUCGAACUGCUUUUCACAUGUGUAGACAUGUGGUGCAUUUACAGUAAAAACAGUCGCCUACUUUUACCCACCAUGAUUAUCAUGGCCUGUACCACGUGUACUAGGGAUAAGCAAAAAAUAAAUAAAUAAAUCAGUACACACACAAAAUUCAACAAAAACAAUUAAAAAUAUUUACACUAGACUGAUGCCUCACUGAAGGGAAGUCUGGGAUUUCUCAGCUUCACAAGCAGCUCUGAAUUUGGCCAGCUUCUGGCUUAUAUAGUGGUUGCUGUUCAAUCAUACUUUUACUACUCAUUCAAUACUUUUUUGUCUGAUAAUGGUAACAACAUUGUUACCGAAACGUCACACACUAUUUAUUUGGAUAUGUUCUUAUUACCUUGUGCAUACAGAACUCUAUUUUUUACGAUAUAAAGACUUUGGUGUUGUACUUAGAAUAAUAUCCCUCCAUCAAUUCCUGUGUUAUCACUACUGAUACUGUCAUGGUGAUUGGUUGCUAUCAUUCAUGACUCAGCAAUUCUCAACCUGCAACCCCAAAACACAUCAUUGACUGUAUUCACUCAUCCAUUGAUGAGCUCUACUCUUCCCCGGCAGACACCAUCAAAAGUCUCAAGCUUUUACAAGCUUGAUACCUUAGUGUAAUUGAGUGGAGAUAAGAAAGAAGAAGAUAUGUCAUAGUGCAGUCCAACACAAAGAGGAAUAUUGGGGACACAGGAUAAGGUGUCCUGCCAUGUUGAUGACCCUCCACAUGUUGACUUCCAUUCACUGCUGCGGUAUCGGAUAACCUUCAGCCCCAUAACAUCCUGUUUACAGCCUGCUGCCAGGCUUCUUCCUGAUUCUGUGCCAUCUUGUCUCAACUGAACACAACCUCCAGGCAAAAAAGCCUGUCUGCACAGCUGUAUUCUUACAUCAUCUCCUGUCAAACUGUCAGAAAGACAGACUGUUUGCUUCACUAAAUCUUAUAAUGGAAUCUAUAUUUUGUAUGGUAAAAAAAUAUCUAAAAAUCUCUUGGAUUAGGUCUUAUUUUCUUGUAUUAUAAUCUAUAAUCCAAAUUGUGCCUUAUCAUAUAAAGGUGAAAAUAUCAAGCUUCCGGGGAUAAGUUUCUUUUAAAACAUUUUAAUUUCAUAAAUCUCUAGCUUUCGGGAACAAAAGCCCUUCUACAGGAGAAAACACACUGCAAUAGAUCACCAAUAGGACAAACUCCGCCUUUGCCGGUCCCAAGCCCGGAUGGAGGAGGGGGAGCCGUAACAAGCUCACUAAAAAACCUGGGCUCAACUGGCCCGGCUGAUAGUACCCUGUAAGGGCUCCUAAUCCAGGGAUACAGGAUGAGCAGCGUUUGUACUCCAUGUUAGGAGCGGCUGCACAUGGCGUCUGUUCCUCAUGUCUUUGGCCAUUUCUUUUAGAGCUAAGUCGGCCUGCCACUGAGUAGUGCUCCCAGUCUUAAUGACAAAGGCAGACACAUUCUACUUCACCCAGUCAUGAUGGAUGUCAAGUCUUAAGUUCUACAAGCUUGAUACCCUAAUAUGAUUGAGUGGAGAUAAGAAAGAAGAAGACCAAUAAGAGUUAAAAUAUGAUCAAAUACAGAGAGAGUGCUUAUAUAGUUAUUUGGAUGGAAAUUUACUGCUGGUCUAUGGUAAGGCUGGGUAUGUUUGAAUCAAUCUGAACACAGAAAAUUGAAGUCUCUGAUACUCCAUAUCAUAGUACACAGUAGUGGGAUUUUUCUAUAUACAGUGUGUAGAACCUCCCUGUAAAGGACAACACCUAAUUGCAAAGCCAAAGUCACCUUUAAGGAAAGGAGUACUCUUACCUGAAAGUUUCUAAAUAGUAAAAAUUGUCAUUUUGCAAAAAUGAAAACUGUCCUUUGUGGAGAGGUAUCCACUAGCCGGGUGUUUACUAAAGGGAGGUUCUACUGUAUACAGAGAGAGAAUACCAAAAACUACCUUUCAAAUAAUUACCUUCACUGUAAUCUUACAGUAGAAUAAAAGAAAAUAAUAAUCCUACAGUAGAAAUUCCAACACGGAUGUGUCAUUUCUAUGGAUAGCACAGGAAAAUGCUGGUGACAGCUAGACUUUGUGUUAGAACUUAUGGGUAGAAUCUGUGAGCUAAGAGAUGUAAAUCUAGUGUUUCCCCUCCAUAGAGGAUGAGAAAGUCUCUAGUCAAAGGACACAGAGGUAACAUUUUAUAAAGGGGAUCUAAAAGCUGGGAUUGUUUCCAACAAAGGGAGUCAACAACAAAGUGGGCAAUAAAGAAGAAUUCUCCAGGAAACAAAGGACAAUUUACAAUGAGGGAAACAAGCCCUUCAAAUAAUAAAGACUUGAUGGCCCAUUGCCAUUGGAGUAAGGUUUCCCAGCUGCUCUGUGAUGGGGACUUGGAAUCUGAGACAGCUGGUGAGGAAACUUUUCAACACACAGCCCUAGGGAUUGCAUGUUUUGGAUGAAUUAAAGUCAGUGUUGAAAUUAAAAGUAAAAAAAUAGGCUAAUUGAUAAGUGAAAAAACUGGUUAAAUUGAAAUAAAUGUUGAAUUAUAGUCAGUGUGUUUUAGCAGAGGCACUGCUGAUAUAUUGUUGACAACCAGGAUCUGGCACACUUGUAAGUGCAAUAGUCAAACCACUUUCUACAUGUGUUUUUUUUUUUUGCUUAUCCCUAGUAUACGUUAUACAGGCCAUGAUAAUCAUGGUGGGUGUUGUAUCUUUUAUACGGGUUCAUUUACCUUUAGCUUUAUAUAUAUUUAAUAUAGUUACAGCCUUUAUGUAUAUAGACAAUUAAUAUACCGCCGUGCUAGAACAAUUAUAUAUUUAUUAUGCGGCGUUGUUUACAUACUGUGUUGCCAGAUCUUUUGUAGCACAGAUUAUAACUAUAUACAACAUGUUCCCCUUUUAAUUAAAGUCCGGGGUCGAAUCUUUUCGGAGGCUUUACCACACGUCCACUUCUAGUGGUGUAGGCAGUGCCUCCUUCAUUGUAGUUUCCUAUGGGAGUUGAAGUGGAUGGGGCCAACUCUUCAGGACUGAGGUUCAGGCGGGGAAAUUCUCCUGGUUCCCUUUGACCACUGGACUCCGAUGAUGUCGAGGGGGCUGGAUCCAAUUGGGGCGAUGACUGGCUGCUCCUUCUCUGUCCAACAGGAUAACUUCUGGGCCGUAGGUGAACUCUGUUCCGUUUUAACAUUCGGCCCUCGUUGUUCUGAAUGAUGUAUGAUCGAGGCUGGUUGGCUUCUCCAAUGAUGGUAGCUGGUCUCCAGGCAUUGCUAGUUUUGGCAUUUACCUGUUCACCAGAACUCAUUUUAGGAAGUAUUUUGGCAUUUCGGUCAUAAUAUUCUUUCAUCUUAUAUUGAUUUUCCCUCUUCUGCUGUAGAAUGUUUUCCGUGCUAAUGAAAGCAGGUUUUAGCUUUGUGGUUUUCAUUGGGAUCAAGGUUCUCAAGUUUCUUCCCAUUAGCAUCUGAGCUGGGGACGGUAGAUUAUUUGACGGAGUUGUUCUCAGGGCUAUUAAACACAUAUAAGGAUCAGUGUUGUCUUGACGGCAUUUCUUAAGUUGCUUCUUUACUGUUUGCACCAUCCUCUCCACUAAUCCGUUUGAUUUUGGGUAUCCUGGGCUAGAGGUUUUAUGUUCUAUGUCCCAUUCAUUUGUAAAAUUAGUAAAGUCUUGUGAUGUAAAUGGUGGUCCAUUAUCAGUGAUGAUGAUCUCUGGAAUCCCAUGUCUUGCGAAGGUAGAUUUCAAAACUGGUAGAAUCUCUUUUGCUGAAGUUGAUGCUACCUUGAUGACUUCAGGAAAGCUGCUGUAGUAGUCUACUAUUAUUAUGAAUACAGAUUGGUCUAGAUAGAAGAAAUCAAUAGCUACUUUUUGCCAAGGGUAGUCUGCUAUUUCGUGAGGUAUAAGUGGUUCUUUCCUUUGCGAAGGUUGUGAUUCUUGACAAAUUCUACACUUAUAAACCAUCUCUUCUAUUUCUCUAUCCAGUCCAGGCCAAUAAAUAGCUUCAUGUGCUCUGUUUUUACAAGCAGAGAUCCCUUGAUGAGACAUGUGUAGUGUUUGCAAGAUGCUUUCCCUUUGGACUUUAGGGAUGACAAGUCUUUGUCCUCUACAAAUCAGGUCUUUCCAUAUAUAUAGUUCUUCUUUACAAUGCCAGUAGGGCUUAACAGCAUAGUCCACACUUUUCUUAUGAAUAGGCCACCCAUUCAGUAUAUGAUCCCUUAAUUUUAUCAUUUCUUCAUCUGACUCCAUAUCUCUGAGAAUUUCCUGGUAUCUUUUAGUGGUCACCUUCAGAUUUAGAGUCAUAAUGGUGUUCUGGAGAUCCAGAUCUGAGGUGUCGAUGGUUUCCUCUGAAAUUGAAUCUCUAGAUAGAGUGUCUGCGGUGUGAAUCACUUUUCCUGGUACGUAUUCUAAAUUAAAAUCAUAUCGCAUCAAUUUCAAGACCAGUCUUUCAAGUCUUGGAGAUAAUUCCUCUAGUGGCUUUUUUAGUAUAGCCAACAAGGGUUUAUGAUCCGUCUGGGCUGUGAACUUUCUUCCAUACAAAUGAUAGUUAAAUCUUUGGCAUCCAUACCAGAGAGCUAAGAGCUCCUUUUCAAUCUGGGCAUAUUUUUUCUGAGUGUUAUUCAAGGAUGCGGAUGCAAAAGCGAUGGGUCUUCCCUCUUGCAUCAAGACAGCCCCAAGCCCAUGUUGACUAGCGUCCACUGAAAGUGUUACCUUCCGAUGGGGGUCAAAGAGGCCAAGAACUGGAGGAUUUGAUACCAAAUUUUUCAGCUCAAUGAAUUCUUUUUCUAUAGCCUCAUUCCAUGUCCACAGGGUAUUCUUUUUUAGGAGUUGUCUUAACAAGACAGUUUUAUCUGCCAGAUUAUGCAUGAAUUUAGCUAGAUAGUUCACAGUUCCCAAAAAUCUUUGAAGAGAUGUCUUGUCCAUUGGUCUUUUUAUUUUUUGUAUUGCUUCUAAUUUAGAUGGAUCUGCAGAGAUGCCAUUCUUGGAUAUCUCAUGUCCAAUGAACUUAACUUUUUCUUGGGCCAGUUGCAUUUUAUUGAAUUCAAACUUUAAAUUAUUUUUUCUAGCAAUUUCCAAAACCGUAAUCAGUCUACUAUUGUGCUCCGUGAGGGAGUUUCCGUAUAUUAUUAUAUCAUCCAUGUAUACUUUUACUCCUUCAAUUCCUGUAAACAUACUUUGCAUUUUUUUAUAGAAAACUUCUGGAGCGCUGCAAAUACCAAAAGGUAACCGAUGGAAUCUGUAAUACCCAUAAGGUGUAGCCAUUGUUAAAAGGCUAGAUGACUUUUCGUCUAACUUGAUUUGCCAAAAGGCUGACUUAGCAUCAAGUACUGUAUAGAUGGGUGAUUUUGUGAUAUCAGCAAUGAUGCCUUCAGGGGCAGGAAGUUGACGAUAUUCCAUUUUAAUCCAUGGAUUUAGCUCUCUAGGGUCCAUACAGAUACGAACCUUUCCAUUUGGUUUCUUAAUGAUUACCAUCGGGUGUGCCCACUCUGCUGGUUGGUCUACCUUUGAGAUGAUCUUUUGUUCCUCCAUCGAUUUUAGCUCCAUCUCAACUGGUUUUUUCAGUGCAAACGGAAUUCGGCGAGCUAACUGAAUUCUUGGAUGUGCAUUUUCUCUCAGGAUCACAGAAUGCUCUCCAGGGAGUGUUCCGAUCUCAUCAAAGACAUCUCUGUAGGACUCUAUUAUCUUUGUAGGUGAAGCAUCCAUCUUUGUCCUAGUAUGGUCCUGUUCCAACGACUCUACUUUUAAUAUCAGCUCUAAUUUUUUACACGCUGCCAAUCCCAAAAUUGGUGGAGCUGGCAAAUCCACGACUAGAAAUUCAAGGAUUUCAGAUUUUUUCCCAGAGGUACAUGAAGCCUUGCAUUUGCCCCUUAUUGGUACUUUUUCUCCUGUAUAUGAAUAAACCGCAAUCCCAGUUGGAUAUAUGCAGGGUUUAUUUUGCCAAUUUUUAAUGGUAUCCAAUGGCAGGAUGUUCACCUGUGCUCCUGUGUCUAAUUUAAAAUUAACUGAAUUAUUCUCCACCAAGAUUAUUUUAGUCCACUCUAGACCAGUAAUGCUAUCUAGGGAUAGGUAUUGAAGACACAUUUCUUCUUCCUCUUCCGCUCUUUCCUCCAACAUAUGCACUCUGUUCCUACACAUUUUAGCAAAAUGGUUUGGUUUUUUACAUGAAUUGCAUAUUUUACCAUAUGCAAAACAUUUACCAUAUGGAUGUCUGGAACCACAAUUUUGGCAAACCUUUGCAUUAGGAUGUUCCUCAGAUACAUUAGGUUUUCUACCAACUGGAUAUUUGAAAUUCUUUUUAUAUUGCUUUUUAUAUUUUAUAGAAUGUAAAUCAACAUCUUCUCUAGUUAUAUUUUUUACUUGUUGUCUAGAAGUUUCAGUAGCUCUUCCCAAGUCUAUGGCUUUAGCUAAAGAAAGAUCAGGAUCUUGUAGCAUCCUUUCUUUUAAAGCUUUGUCUUUAAUUCCAAUUAUAAUUCUAUCUCUGACCAAGGAAUCUGCAAGCUCUCCAAAUUCGCAGUCCAUGCUUUUAUUUUUCAAUUCAGUUACAUAGUCAUCAAAAUUCUGAUUCUCCCCUUGUUCCGUUGUAAAAAACUGGUACCUCUUAUAGGUUGUGUUUUUAUAUGGUUUAAAGUGUCCAUCAAACAGUUCAAGUAUAUCCGGAACAGUCGGAGAGGCAUCAGUUUCUUGUAUUUUAAAUGUAGAGUAUAUAUCUAGGGCUAACUCACCAAUAUUAUAGAGUAGAAUAGCCCUUUGUCUUGGAAUAGAUUUUUUAUCUAUUUCUGUGGCUAUGUAAAACAUUUGGAAUCUCUUUUUCCAUUUACCCCAUGCUUCUGAUGGGUUUGUUCCAGGCACAAAUGGCUGCAAACUAUUCCCGGUACUCGAGGCCAUUUUUCAACGUGUUAGGCUUAAUUGAUAUUUGAAAUUUUACUUAUCUUUCAAAAUCCCGGCGCUGCCACCAUGUUGUAUCUUUUAUACGGGUUCAUUUACCUUUAGCUUUAUAUAUAUUUAAUAUAGUUACAGCCUUUAUGUAUAUAGACAAUUAAUAUACCGCCGUGCUAGAACAAUUAUAUAUUUAUUAUGCGGCGUUGUUUACAUACUGUGUUGCCAGAUCUUUUGUAGCACAGAUUAUAACUAUAUACAACAGUGGGUAGUUAGCGACUGCUUUUACUGUAAGUGUACCACAUGUCUACACAUGUGAAAAGCAGUUUGACUUUGCACUUACAAAUAUACCAGAGCCCUGUUUGGUUACUUGCACUCGCUGGCGGGGUUGGACUUUUGCAAGAAUCGGGGGCCAUUGGAGCAUUUUUUUUUUUUAAUUCAGAAAAAAGUGCACAAUGCGGGAAUCGAACCCGGGUCGUAGCGGUCGAAAACCAACAGUUUUGACCAUCCUUUCACCGACCCCCCUAAAAUGAUGGCAUACUUGUGUUAUGUGUUAUCAAACCCACCAAGGAAACAAGUAGAAGAACAGUUAAAGUUUGUGUAAAACAAUGUUGUCUUAUUUAAAGAAACACUCUCUCCGUGGAUAUUUUUAUAGCACAUUGAUCAUAACCACAAGGUAAAAUAAGACCAAAUUGUGCCUUGUUUUGAUGACCUAAGUAUUAAUGAUAUCAUGUCUUACAAUGAUAAUGCACAAUUUGGAUUAUAUACACAAGGUAAUAAGACCAAAUCCAAAUAAAUAAAUAGUGUGUGACGUUUCGGUAACAGUGUUGUUACCAUUUUCAGACAAAUUCAGUAUUCAUUCAGUACUUUUGUCUGUAGAUGGUAACAACGCUGUUACAGAAACAUCACACACUAUUUAUUUAUUUGGAUUUGGUCUUAUUACCUUGUGUUUGAAGUAGAAGAACAGUUAAAGUUUGUGUAAAACAAUGUCGCCUUAUUUAAAGAAACACUCUCUCCGUGGAUAUUUUUAUAGCACAUUGAUCAUAACCACCAGGUAAAAUAAGACCAAAUUGUGCCUUGUUUUGAUGACCUAAGUAUUAAUGAUAUCAUGUCUUACAUUGAUAAUGCACAAUUUGGAUUAUAGAUUAUAAACACAAGGUAAUAAGACCAAAUCCAAAUAAAUAAAUAAAUAGUGUGUGACGUUUCGGUAACAGUGUUGUUACCAUUUUCAGACAAAUUCAGUAUUCAUUCAGUACUUUUGUCUGUAGAUGGUAACAACGCUGUUACAGAAACAUCACACACUAUUUAUUUAUUUGGAUUUGGUCUUAUUACCUUGUGUUUGAAGUAGAAGAACAGUUAAAGUUUGUGUAAAACAAUGUCGCCUUAUUUAAAGAAACACUCUCUCCGUGGAUAUUUUUAUAGCACAUUGAUCAUAACCACCAGGUAAAAUAAGACCAAAUUGUGCCUUGUUUUGAUGACCUAAGUAUUAAUGAUAUCAUGUCUUACAUUGAUAAUGCACAAUUUGGAUUAUAGAUUAUAAACACAAGGUAAUAAGACCAAAUCCAAAUAAAUAAAUAAAUAGUGUGUGCCGUUUCGGUAACAGCAUUGUUACCAUUUUCAGACAAAUUAAGUAUUCAUUCAGUACUUUUGUUUGUAGAUGGUAACAACGCUGUUACAGAAACAUCACACACUAUUUAUUUAUUUGGAUUUGGACAUAUUACCUUGUGUAUAUGUCUUACAUUGGCUUAGAUUAUGUGUUCCCUAAAUGCCCCCAAUCCAACAGCUCUCCACUAUUAAGAAAAAGGUAUCUCCUUAUCGUGCAACUAAAGUUGCUGAUGGUUUGUAUCAUCUGUCGGAUUAAAUAUCAACUAAUCAUUGAUUUUUAACUAUUCCAGAAUUGGCCAAGUACCCAUUCUGAUUAACCAAGAAAAGCUAACCAUGUACACAUUUCGGGUUGUUGACCCUCAUCAGUAUGGUGCAAUCUGUACCUUAACAACCAGUAAAAUCUCUCCACUACAUUACAAGGUAAAGACAAACUUACCUUGAAAGCACUCGCCUGUUGGCCUGGCAUGACUUAAGGCACUUCUGCAACACCAUCAGCAGUGACAUAAGUCCUGGCAUACACUCUAGGGUCGCUUUCAAACAUAACUGAUACAUGAUAAGGCACAACUUGGAUUAUAAACAUAACGUCUUUUCUUCUUCUUCUUUCUUAUCUCCACUCAAUCACACUAAGGUAUCAAGCUUGUAAAGCUUGAGAUUUUUGAUGGUCUCUGCCGGGGAAGAGUAGAGCUCAUCAAUGGAUGAGUCAAUACAGUCAAACAUAACGUAAUAAGAACAAUUCCAAAUACAGUUAAAACUGUCUAUAGCACCCCUCUAAAUAGCACCCGAUUUUAAAUACGUAGUACCAAGCAAUUUACAUUAAAAGUGACCUGCCUAUAGCACCCCCUCUCUAUAGCACCCUAUUUUGAUGAGUCCCAAGAGGGGGCGACAGGUUUAACUGUAUAUAAAUAGUGUGUAUAGUUUCGGUAAGUGCAUUACAAGAAAAUAAGAUCACAAAUCCAAAUAUAUUAACAUUUAAAAUAUAUUAAUCUAUUUAUAGAUUUGGUCUUAUUUUCUUGUGUUUAUAAUCUACUAGCCGAAUGACCCGGGCAACGCCCGUGUUUUACCCAAUUGAAUGUUUUGAUUCAAAUACUAUUUGUUACAAUUAUAAAUUGGCGCCUUAAUUAAUUGCAUAUGUUAGUUAAUAACUAUAGCCUAUGUGCUUUAUCUGUCUAUGUACUGUUGGCUUCCGUAGGCGUCUCUUACUGGGAAAAAGAAAGAGAGGAUUCCAUUUGGUUAUUAUCUAAUAUAUGCAUUUAUUUAGGGAGCGACCCGCUCCAACACAAUAGUUAAAUGGCGAGUGGGGGGGGGGGGGGGGGGGGGGGGCAAAGGUGGCGUGACCGUAGCCAACCAAUAGGAGGGCGCCAUUCCAAAAAAAAGCAAACGGUGACAGAGUUGAUUGAUUAGGAGAUGAGGAAUGACGCUCGUAACUGUAUAUAGAAUAAUACAAAUUGUGUCUUAUCAGGUAAGUGCAUUGUUAUCAUCAUCAGACAAAAGUCCUGAAUGAGAAAUAUCACAGCAGGCUUUACUUGAUAACAGUAGCUAUUUUAAAAGCAUGUUGCGAUAUAUUUUCUCAUUCAGUACUUUUGUCUGAAGAUGGUAACAACGCUGUUACUGAAACCUCACACACUAUUCAUUUGGAUUUGGUCUAUUACCUUUUGUUUUAUGAUUGAUACAGUAGAACCUCUCUGUAAAGAAUGCCUAGUUGCAGAGUCAAAGUGUCCUUUAUAUAAAGGUGUCCUCUAGCACGAGUGUCCUCUCAUGGAUGUUUUAUUGUGUUAUUAUUUUUGAGACCUUUAAAAAAAUUAUUUUUUUCUUUGCUAUGAAAAAAACUGUGUGAAAUAGAAUCUUUAAUUGCUACUUAACCCUUUCUGUAGUUCUGAUAAGGCACAAUUUGGAUUAUAGAUUAUAAACACAAGGUAAUAAGUUUGGAGAUUCAGUACUUUUGUCUGAAGAUGGUAACAACGCUGUUACCAAAACGUCACACACUAUUUAUUUAUUUGGAUUUGGUCUUAUUACCUUUUGUUUUCUGUAGUUCUGUUCAUAGAACGGGCAUUCGUCUGAAUAAAUAGCAUUUAACAAGAGUGAAUGCAUACAGAACAAACAAGUAAACUUUUUUUAUUCAACCGGCUCAAAACCAACUAUAAUUCAACCAUUUUCUUGUUCAAAUCCCAAUCAGUCUAUUUACUUUUUAACUAACUCCGCCUUUGCCGGCCCCAAGCCCAGAUGAAAAAGGAGGAGGGGGAGCAGUAACAAGCUCACAAAAAACCUGGGCUCAGCUGGCCCGGCUGAUAGUACCCUGUAAGGGCUCCUAAUCCAGGGAUACAGGAUGAGCAGCGUUUGUACUCCAUGUUAGGAGCAGCUGCACAUGGCAUCUGUUCCUCAUGUAAGAGUUGGCCAUUUCUUUUGGAGCUAAGUCGGCCUU